UUUAAAGAGAGUUUGAUCCUGGCUCAGGACGAACGCUGGCGGCGUGCCUAAUACAUGCAAGUCGAACGAACGGAGGAAGAGCUUGCUCUUCCAAAGUUAGUGGCGGACGGGUGAGUAACACGUGGGCAACCUGCCUGUAAGUUGGGGAUAACUCCGGGAAACCGGGGCUAAUACCGAAUGAUAAAGUGUGGCGCAUGCCACGCUUUUGAAAGAUGGUUUCGGCUAUCGCUUACAGAUGGGCCCGCGGUGCAUUAGCUAGUUGGUAGGGUAAUGGCCUACCAAGGCAACGAUGCAUAGCCGACCUGAGAGGGUGAUCGGCCACACUGGGACUGAGACACGGCCCAGACUCCUACGGGAG
rnacentral:rRNA from 1 species